UACGGAGGGUGCAAGCGUUGCUCGGAAUUAUUGGGCGUAAAGGGGAGGUAGGUGGUCUCGUUUGUCCGGGGUGAAAUCCCUGAGCUUAACUCAGGACGUGCCUCGGAAACGGCGAGACUGGAGUACUGGAGAGGCUAGCGGAAUACCCGGUGUAGCGGUGAAAUGCGUAGAGAUCGGGAGGAACAUCUGUGGCGAAGGCGACUGCCUGGACCAGCACUGACACUGAGGCACGAAAGCGUGGGGAGCAAACAGG
rnacentral:rRNA from 1 species